AUUGAACGCUGGCGGCAUGCCUAACACAUGCAAGUCGAACGGUAACGCAAGAAGCUUGCUUCUUGGCGACGAGCGGCGGACGGGUGAGUAAUACUUAGGAAUCUGCCCAGUAGUGGGGGACAACUCGGGGAAACUCGAGCUAAUACCGCAUACGCCCUACGGGGGAAAGCGGGGGAUCUUCGGACCUCGCGCUAUUGGAUGAGCCUAAGUCGGAUUAGCUUGUUGGUGGGGUAACGGCCUACCAAGGCGACGAUCCGUAGCUGGUCUGAGAGGACGAUCAGCCACACUGGGACUGAGACACGGCCCAGACUCCUACGGGAGGCAGCAGUGGGGAAUAUUGGACAAUGGGGGCAACCCUGAUCCAGCAAUGCCGCGUGUGUGAAGAAGGCCUGCGGGUUGUAAAGCACUUUCAGUAGAGAAGAAAAGCUUAGGGUUAAUACCCUUGAGUCUUGACGUAACCUACAGAAGAAGCACCGGCUAACUCCGUG
rnacentral:rRNA from 1 species